rnacentral:rRNA from 1 species
GUCCACGCCGUAAACGUUGGGUACUAGGUGUGGGAGGUUUAAUACCUUCUGUGCCGCAGCUAACGCAUUAAGUACCCCGCCUGGGGAGUACGGUCGCAAGAUUAAAACUCAAAGGAAUUGACGGGGGCCCGCACAAGCGGUGGAGCAUGUGGUUCAAUUCGACGCAACGCGAAGAACCUUACCUGGGCUUGACAUCCCUGGAAUCCUGCGGAAACGCGGGAGUGCCCGCAAGGGAGCCAGGAGACAGGUGCUGCAUGGCUGUCGU